ACUCCCGGAAAGGUAGGGGCUCCCCUGCAUCUCGCCUGCUUCCUAAUGAAGUGGGAAGGAUGGAAAUAAAAUCAAUGCAAUCGCGGCGAUGGUGUGUAGGGGGCGGGUUAAUGACAUGACAGUCCGGCACUGCCCCACGAAGUGGACUACUGCAUCUCCUCUCUGGGCUUCUCCCAGACAGGAGACAAAAUAAAUAUCAAAAGAAAAUUUAGACGGCCAGCCGCUGCAAAAAUCAAACUGUCCGAUCCAGGGGUUAGAUGUCCCUUGUUUAACCAGGCAACCCUACUGCUCUGGAAGGCGAAGGAACAUGCCCAGAGGGUAACGAACACACUCUCAAAUCUCAUUAAAGUUUCUGUACUAUAAGAA